rnacentral:lncRNA from 10 species
UCAGCUUUCAGGCGGAACACACAGCCCGGAACCACCCUGCUCUCAGGCGGAACCCGCGAGCACACGCAGCAGAGCUCUGCUCUUCCUGGGGUUUUAAGGAUGAGACAUUGCAAGGUCCCCCGGGCUACACAGUGACCCCUCUGGCAGGUUGUGCCCCCAGAGUUCAUGGUUAGAAUCCAAACUCUCAGUACCAACAACGCGAGCGUGUGUGGAGAAGGGGCUACGAGACAGGUGAGUAUGUGGGAAGCAGCCGUGAGGAUGAGCCCUGGCCGGGUCCCACUGGUGUCCUAGUUGCAGGAGGAGGUUAGGGCAGAGGGACACGGGACGGACCUGCGCAGAGGCCGCCUGAGAGAAGGCAGCAGCGGGAGAGGCCUCCGCAGAACCAGCCCGGCAACCCUGGGACACCGGACCUUCCCCUCCCCCUCCGAGGCUGUGAGAAAAUACAUUUCUGUUGCUUAAGUCCCCAGGCUCGGUAUUUUGUUCCAGCAGCUGGAGCUAGGACAACCCCAGACGCACCCGGCCAGCCCUGAGGGAGGGCGUUCACCGGCUUCCCAUACGCAUUGUAGGAGGCCGCAUGGGCACCCUCCUCAGCCCUGGGCACCCUUGUCGUACCUGACAACCCUGUGUAGAUUCCCUGCAAGCAUCCAGGGUCCAAGGCGGCCGCAGGCUCCUCAGACAAAGGGCUUCCUCCACACAUGGGCUCAGGGCUACGGGCUCCCUGACAUCGACCUCCCCGGCAGCCGCCCUGGUGUUUCUCCCAUUUGCCAGCGGACACAUCCCAGGUGACACCCCACCUCGGAAGAGGCCCUCCUGGCAGACCGUCUUGUGCAAGGAGAAGAAGCCUUGAAAAGAAGAGGCACAAACUAUCAGGAACGUCCUCGAAGAGAUGAGCGAAAGCACGUGGCCACAGAAAACCAUGAGGAUGCAACAGAAAGAACGACUCCGA